GAAAACUUAGUUAAAUUAUAACAUUAAUUUGUCAAAUUAAAAUUAUCCUGAAGAAAUAGAUUUCU
rnacentral:tRNA from 1 species